ACCGGGGUUCGGUUCCCCGACGGGGAGCCAAACAGCCGACCAAUUGCACUACCAUCACAAUGGAGAAGCCAGUAGUAAACGUAGACGUAGACCCCCAGAGUCCGUUUGUCGUGCAACUGCAAAAAGCUUCCCGCAAUUUGAGGUAGUAGCACAGCAGGUCACUCCAAAUGACCAUGCUAAUGCCAGAGCAUUUUCGCAUCUGGCCAGUAAACUAAUCGAGCUGGAGGUUCCUACCACAGCGACGAUCUUGGACAUAGGCAGCGCACCGGCUCGUAGCAU
rfam:Sindbis virus defective interfering particle di-2.